AGCAGAGACCUAUUGUCUCUCUCCUUUCUGAGUAGAAGAUGUUUGAAGUGGAAGGAUCUUCAGCAACUUCUUCACAAGAAUCAAAGGCUGCAACACUGAUGGAGAAGCUGAGAGUCUGUAGUCAGGAUGGUGGAGCUGAGCCUGGAACUUCAGUUUCGCAUUCCAAGUUUCAUGCCUUUUGCGCUAGUCCAAGAAUCUUCGCUGGAGAAUCACAAAUGUGGAGGGGUUCUGCUUUCACCCUGCCAGCAGAAACUGCUUCAUGGGAAGACAUAAGCAAGCACCCACUCCUCCCUCUGUCGGUGCCUCCAGGAAGCAGCCCUGGCGGGGUUUGUGUGGAUCUGCAGGUGCCUGCUGCACACCGUGCAUCUGUAGCACA